ACUCAAAGGAAUUGACGGGGGCCCGCACAAGCGGUGGAACAUGUGGUUUAAUUCGACGCAACGCGAAGAACCUUACCAGCUUUUGACAUGGGUAGUAUGGGGUAGAGAGAUUUACUCCUUCAGUUCGGCUGGCUACCACACAGGUGCUGCAUGGCUGUCGUCAGCUCGUGUCGUGAGAUGUUGGGUUAAGUCCCGCAACGAGCGCAACCCUCACCUUUAGUUGCCAACAGGUUAAGCUGGGCACUCUAGAGGAACUGCCGGUGACAAGCCGGAGGAAGGUGGGGAUGACGUCAAGUCCUCAUGGCCCUUACAGGCUGGGCUACACACGUGUUACAAUGGCGACUACAGAGGGAAGCUAACCUGCGAGGGUGUGCGAAUCUCAAAAAGUCGUCUCAGUUCGGAUUGUACUCUGCAACUCGAGUGCAUGAAGUUGGAAUCGCUAGUAAUCGUGGAUCAGCAUGCCACGGUGAAUACGUUCCCGGGCCUUGUACACACCGCCCGU
rnacentral:rRNA from 1 species